rnacentral:rRNA from 1 species
UACGUAGGGGGCAAGCGUUGUUCGGAUUUACUGGGCGUAAAGGGCGCGUAGGCGGCAAUUCAAGUCAGUUGUGAAAUCUCCGAGCUUAACUCGGAACGGUCAACUGAUACUGCUUUGCUAGAGUACAGAAGGGGCAACCGGAAUUCUUGGUGUAGCGGUGAAAUGCGUAGAUAUCAAGAGGAACACCUGAGGUGAAGACGGGUUGCUGGGCUGAUACUGACGCUGAGGCGCGAAAGCUAGGGUAGCAAACGGG